GAAAACCUGAAAACUACCAUUGAAUCCAAAAAUGGACGCCUGAGAUUUAUCCACAUUAUCAAGAGUAAAAAUUUUACUCCCAGUAUUUUUUUUACUCAUGUUUGAAAGGUGUAAAAGUUUUACUAUGGUGACAUGGAUAUAUCUUAAACGUUCAUUUAGAUCCAACGGUAGUUUUCAGGUUUUU
rnacentral:pre_miRNA from 1 species